AGCAAGUCAACAACCACCCCUCCACCAUAAAAGUAAUGACAUCAAGGGGAGAGUAAAUCAAGCUAACUUCCUUACUAAAAUUAGCAAGGAAAAAACCACUCCUCCACUGUAUAAGGGAUGACACAAGUAGAGGACAUAAUCAAGGAUUCACUUUGCUAUUAUUAGCAAGAGAAGUUCGGGGCUAGAGGCUAUAAAAAGGGACUUCAUUUUCAUUCAUCAACACACCACGCCAGAGAGAGAUACACGCCACACACCAUUGAGCAUAUAUCAUUUCUUUUCUAAAGUGUUCUUGCCAUUCUCAUGGCUUGCUAAACACUUGAUUUCCUCAAAAUAGGGCAAACAUUUUUCGAAAUAAGAGCAGCUAGAAGGAUGACUUGAAGAUGCCUAGGUAAUUUAGCAUAAAUACGAGGAGGAGAGCCACCAUGGAAAGCCCCAAGGAGUAGCCGCAGGGUUACUCUAACAAAGGUAUGAAUCAAUGAUCCCAUUGACUAAUGUCGUACAUGUUGUUGCUAAUUGUAGCUAUGAUACUUACCAUGGCACCAUCAAUCAUCUAGAAUUCGAGUGCGAAGUCAACAAGAGGUUGGAAUUGAGGACUAGAAAGAAUUGAAGUUUGUCAAAGAAGUCUCCCAUUCAAUUAAAUUAGUUGUAGAUGUAACAAUAGAUGUAGAAGUAGAUGUAACAUUAACCUCUAAU